rnacentral:tRNA from 1 species
GCCCCCAUAGCUUAACGGAUAAAGCGCAGCCCUCCGGAGGUUGAAAUCCCUGUUCGAUUCAGGGUGGGGGCACAA